rnacentral:hammerhead_ribozyme from 1 species
CUCAGCUGACGAGUUCCAAACAGGACGAAAUGUGCAUCCUGGAU